CCCCGGCCCCCUUCCCGGUCCGUAAGUGCUGCUGCCUGCUGUGUCUCGGUGAACCAUGCUUCUCCACCCCUUCCCGCCUCCACAGCCCCACCCGGGGUGGCCCAGAAGGACGAGGAGGCCACCCACACACACACCCAGAAAGGGAGACAGUGCAGGUUCCUGGAGCUGCAGGAGGAAGGAGGCAAGGGGCGCCUCCCAAUUAUGCUACUCCCCUGCAGGCGCCUCUCUCCUCGGUGCCCUCUUGUCGGGCACGAAUUCGCCGUCUGCACCCGUCCGUUCGUCCGUUCGUAGGAGGGCGCGCGGGAGGAAAGGACAUGCCUGGAGCCGGAAGACAGAAAGGAGAAGCAGGAGCCUGGUGGAGGAGUCGGAAGCUGGGAAGGAGGAGAAAAUGAAACGUUGCCUGAAGACAAUGGCCAAGACAGCAGGUCCCACCCAGCACAGCCGCCAGCACCUCUGCUCCAGCCCCAGCUCCUCCUCCACGGUCAGGAUCUGCACAUCACACCACUUGGUCCGCAGGAAGGAGAAAAAGAACCCCCAAACCAAUCUAUAGAAAAACGUGGCUGGCCAUGGACACACCGGGGAAGCUUAGACAGUUGAAGGUGGGAGAGGGCACCAAGGCGAAGGUUGGAGACACACUUUGCAUCUGCUGGCCCGGUAGACACAAGGCUGCAUCCACUCUGGGACCCCCACCUCUGCAUCCUGGGGCUUCUCCCCGGCUGCCAGCUAGGCGGAGAAGGGGAGAGGGGCCCAAGGCAGCUGCAGGGGCUGUGUUAGUAAACACUUUCCUGGGUUCCCAUUUUCUUCACCCCCCCCACCCCGCCUUCUCCAGUCCUGAUGCCCUGUUACCCGCCCACCCCCCCCACCACCCCCCCAGCAUCCCCUUUUCUGUGGCCUGCACAAUGAGCUCAUUGUCCUGGGUGUGAUUUGAAUAAGGGAUCGGCGGGCCUGUUCCCAGCAUUGUCCAAGGGGCUGGGAAAAACCCCAGCACAGGCAGGAGGACCAGACCAGACAGAGACAGAUGCCUAAAUUAGCAACAAAGCUUUGUGCACGUCCCCCGGACAAGGGCUCGCCUUGUUUGCGUGGACUCGAGGGUGUGGAGCUGGCC
rnacentral:lncRNA from 1 species